rnacentral:rRNA from 1 species
UACGUAGGGUGCGAGCGUUGUCCGGAAUUAUUGGGCGUAAAGAGCUCGUAGGCGGUCUGUCGCGUCGGUCGUGAAAACUUGGGGCUUAACUCUGAGCUUGCGGUCGAUACGGGCAUGACUGGAGUUCGGCAGGGGAGACUGGAAUUCCUGGUGUAGCGGUGAAAUGCGCAGAUAUCAGGAGGAACACCGGUGGCGAAGGCGGGUCUCUGGGCCGAUACUGACGCUGAGGAGCGAAAGCGUGGGGAGCAAACAGG